AGCGAACGCUGGCGGCAGGCCUAACACAUGCAAGUCGAACGGCUCUUCGGAGCAGUGGCGGACGGGUGAGUAACACGUGGGAACGUGCCCUUUGGUACGGAACAACUGAGGGAAACUUCAGCUAAAACCGUAUGUGCCCUAACGGGGAAAGAUUUAUCGCCAAAGGAGCGGCCCGCGUUGGAUUAGGUAGUUGGUGGGGUAAAGGCCCACCAAGCCUACGAUCCAUAGCUGGUCUGAGAGGAUGAUCAGCCACACUGGGACUGAGACACGGCCCAGACUCCUACGGGAGGCAGCAGUGGGGAAUCUUGCGCAAUGGGCGAAAGCCUGACGCAGCCAUGCCGCGUGAAUGAUGAAGGUCUUAGGGAUUGUAAAAUUCUUUU
rnacentral:rRNA from 1 species